AGCGAACGCUGGCGGCAGGCCUAACACAUGCAAGUCGAACGAACUCUUCGGAGUUAGUGGCGGACGGGUGAGUAACACGUGGGAACGUGCCUUUUGGUUCGGAAUAACUCAGGGAAACUUGUGCUAAUACCGAAUGUGCCCUCGGGGGAAAGAUUUAUCGCCAUUAGAGCGGCCCGCGUCUGAUUAGCUAGUUGGUGAGGUAACGGCUCACCAAGGCGACGAUCAGUAGCUGGUCUGAGAGGACGACCAGCCACACUGGGACUGAGACACGGCCCAGACUCCUACGGGAGGCAGCAGUGGGGAAUCUUGCGCAAUGGGCGAAAGCCUGACGCAGCCAUGCCGCGUGAAUGAUGAAGGUCUUAGGAUUGUAAAAUUCUUUCACCGGGGACGAUAAUGACGGUACCCGGAGAAGAAGCCCCGGCUAACUUCGUG
rnacentral:rRNA from 1 species